GUGGGGAAUCUUGCGCAAUGGGCGAAAGCCUGACGCAGCCAUGCCGCGUGAAUGAUGAAGGUCUUAGGAUUGUAAAAUUCUUUCACCGGGGACGAUAAUGACGGUACCCGGAGAAGAAGCUCCGGCUAACUUCGUGCCAGCAGCCGCGGUAAUACGAAGGGGGCUAGCGUUGCUCGGAAUUACUGGGCGUAAAGGGCGCGUAGGCGGACAGCUUAGUCAGAAGUGAAAGCCCAGGGCUCAACCUUGGAAUUGCCUUUGAUACUGGCUGUCUUGAGUUUGGGAGAGGUGAGUGGAACUCCGAGUGUAGAGGUGAAAUUCGUAGAUAUUCGGAAGAACACCAGUGGCGAAGGCGACUCACUGGCCCAAUACUGACGCUGAGGCGCGAAAGCGUGGGGAGCAAACAGGAUUAGAAACCCUUGUAGUCC
rnacentral:rRNA from 1 species